AUGAAGCAUUUGUCAUCGUGGCGGAAAGAAAGGGAGUGCCACGGCAACGAUAACGGUUCCAGUAGCUCAUGGAAAUACCGGUGCAAAAAGAAAAGUGACGGGAGCAUACAAAAGAUGAUGUUCGGGAUCACGGCGAGGGACUUGACGUCCACGGAGGCUUCGAGGGUCGACGGUAGUUGUUCUCGUAUCAUCGUGGAAGUAGUCAUACUCGGCGAUAGUGUUGGGCUUGGCGUCAACAACAACAGGGGCACGACGCAGGGACUUGGCGCGAUGUAG
rnacentral:rRNA from 1 species